rnacentral:rRNA from 1 species
GCGAGUGAAGCGGGAACAGCUCAAAUUUGAAAUCUGGCCCUUGGGUCCGAGUUGUAAUUUGCAGAGGAUGCUUUUGGUGCGGUGCCUUCCGAGUUCCCUGGAACGGGACGCCUUAGAGGGUGAGAGCCCCGUACGGUUGGACACCAAGCCUAUGUAAAGCUCCUUCGACGAGUCGAGUAGUUUGGGAAUGCUGCUCAAAAUGGGAGGUAUAUUUCUUCUAAAGCUAAAUAUUGGCCAGAGACCGAUAGCGCACAAGUAGAGUGAUCGAAAGAUGAAAAGCACUUUGAAAAGAGGGUUAAAUAGCACGUGAAAUUGUUGAAAGGGAAGGAUUUAUGACCAGACUUUUUCUAGGGGGAUCAUCCGGUGUUCUCACCGGUGCACUUCCCCUAGUUGAGGCCAGCAUCGGUUUCUGUCGGGGGAUAAAAGCUUCGGGAAUGUGGCUCCCUCCGGGGAGUGUUAUAGCCCGUUGCAUAAUACCCUGACGGGGACCGAGGUUCGCGCAUUGCAAGGAUGCUGGCGUAAUGGUUAUUAAUCACCCGUCUUGAAACACGGACCAAGGAGUCGAACAUUUGUGCGAGUGUUUGGGUGUUAAACCCUCACGCGUAAUGAAAGUGAACGGAGGUGAGAGCCUUUCGGGGUGCAUCAUCGACCGAUCCUGAUGUCUUCGGAUGGAUUUGAGUAAGAGCAUUAAUGUUCGGACCCGAAAGAUGGUGAACUAUGCGUGGAUAGGGUGAAGCCAGAGGAAACUCUGGUGGAGGCUCGCAGCGGUUCUGACGUGCAAAUCGAUCGUCAAAUCUGCGCAUGGGGGCGAAGAC